rnacentral:sRNA from 1 species
GAGUGUUCUGGCUUUCAGAGGAAUCCCUAUCUCAGAGUUGAAGAACCAUGGCAUUCUCCAGGCUCUGACCACAGAAGCUAAUGAAUGGGAGCCACGUGUUGUGAGUACAGAGGUGGUCAGAGCCCAAGAAGCAUGGGAAGCUGUGGACACCAUCCAGCCAGAGACAGGGAGCCAAGCUAGCUCAGAGCAGCCUGGGCAGCUAAUCUCCUUCAGUGAGGCCCUGCAGCACUUCCAGACUGUGGACCUUUCCUCCUUCAAGAAAAGAAUCCAGCCAACUAUUCGAAGGACUGGGCUCGCCGCCCUCCGACACUACCUCUUCGGGCCUCCAAAGCUCCACCAGCGCCUUCGGGAAGAAAGGGACUUGGUCCUGACCAUUGCUCAGUGUGAGUGCAAUGCGAGCCCACAGGGCAGUUGCUGCAUCUGUGGUUGGGCAAGACCGUGUGUGCUGACCCUGUUGCUGAGGCUAAGCCAGAAAUAUUGCAUGUACCAUGGUUGGUGGGUGAGAGUGGGAGCUGAGAACUGGAUGUCUCACAGUCCAGAUCUCACAUUCUCUGAGAAGCACCCAGUUCUCCCACGAGGGGCAAUCUGGCAGAGAGUGUGGGUGUGUUUUGGGGCAGGUGGCCUGGAUAGCCAAGACCCAGUGCAUGGCCGAGUCCUCCAGACCAUCUAUAAGAAGCUGACCGGCUCCAAGUUUGACUGUGCCCUUCAUGGAGACCACUGGGAGGACCUGGGCUUUCAGGGUAAGAGGGAGGAGUAGCUCAUCUUCUUUUUCAUGCCUCUGAUUCCAGAACUAGAGUGAGAGGCCAGGUCGUUCUCUUCCAGCACUAUGAGGGGGAAGAUCUCAGGGGAGUAUUCCGGGAGGAGGGUGCAGCAAAUACAAAAGCCCUGAGGGGGCGCCUGCUAGCUCUACUUGAAAAAUAGCCAGAGUAGUUUGGGUGUGGUGGCUCAUGCCUGUAAUCCCAGCACUUUGGGAGGCUGAAGAGGGCGGAUCACUUGAGGUCCGGAGUUGGAGACCAGCCUGGCCAACAUGGUGAAAUCCCAUCUCUACUAAAAAUACAAAAAUUAGGGCUGGGUGCGGUGGCUCAUGCUUGUAAUCCCAGCACUUUGGGAGGCUGAGGUAGGUGGAUCACGAGGUCAAGAGUUCGAGACCAGCCUGGCCAACAUGGUGUAACCCCGUCUCUACUAAAAAUAGAAAAUUUAGCCAGGCCUGGUGGUAUGCGCCUGUAAUCCCAGCUACUCGGGAGGCUGAGGCACGAGAAUUGCUUGAACCUAGGAGGUGGAGGUUGCAGUAAGCCGAGAUUGCACCACGGCACUCUAGCCUUGGUGACAGAGCAAGAAUCUGUCUCAGAAAAAAAAUAAAAAAUAAAAAUUAGCCAGGCGUGGUGGCAUGUGCCUGUAAUCUGAGCUACUCAGGAGGCUGAGGCAGGAAAAUCACUUGAACCCGGAGGCAGAGGUUGCAGUGAACAGAGAUCGUACCACUGCACUCCAGCCUAGGUGACAAAGGGAGACUCUGUCUCAGAAAAGAAAAAUAGCCAGAGUGUGGCUGAGGUAGAGACGAAAGUGACAGGAGAAAAGAUCACUUGGUGGUCUUUUAGGCUGUUGUAAACAUUUACUGUAAGUGAUAUGGAAAACACUGGAGUGAUGUGACAGAAUCUGGCAUUUUUGGGUUUUUUCCUCUCUAAAAAAUAUUUAUGAAAAUUUUAUCAUAUAUUAUUUUGCUUUCUGAGUGAAACAGAAUCAUUUCACCAGUUUUUGGAUUGUACUAUUUUUUUUCAAAACCAUAUCAAAUUGGCCGGGCAUGGUGGCUCACACCUAUAAUCCCAGCACUUUGGGAGGCCGAGGCAGGCAGAUGACUUGAGGUCAAGAGUUUGAGACCAGCCUGGCCAACGUGGUGAAACCCUAUCUCUACUAAAAAUAUAUAAAUUACCAGGCAUGGGGGUGUGCACCUGUAAUCCCAGCUACUCAGGAGGCUGAGGCAGGAGAAUCGCUUGAACCCAGGAGGCGGAGGAUGAACCCAAGAUCGCACCACUGCACUCCAGCCUGAGUGACAGAACAAGACUGUCUCAAAAAA